rnacentral:rRNA from 1 species
GACGAACGCUGGCGGCGCGCCUAACACAUGCAAGUCGAACGAGCGAGCGAGAGCUUGCUUUCUCGGGCGAGUGGCGAACGGGUGAGUAACGCGUGAGGAACCUGCCUCAAAGAGGGGGACAACAGUUGGAAACGACUGCUAAUACCGCAUAAGCCCACGGGUCGGCAUCGACCAGAGGGAAAAGGAGCAAUCCGCUUUGAGAUGGCCUCGCGUCCGAUUAGCUAGUUGGUGAGGUAAUGGCCCACCAAGGCGACGAUCGGUAGCCGGACUGAGAGGUUGAACGGCCACAUUGGGACUGAGACACGGCCCAGACUCCUACGGGAGGCAGCAGUGGGGAAUAUUGCACAAUGGGGGAAACCCUGAUGCAGCGACGCCGCGUGGAGGAAGAAGGUCUUCGGAUUGUAAACUCCUGUUGUUGGGGAAGAUAAUGACGGUACCCAACAAGGAAGUGACGGCUAACUACGUG